AAGUUUAUUUAUUUUUCUCUUAACUUUUAAUUUCUCUUACUUGUCACAUAAAAAUAUAUUCUAAAUGAUACACCAAAAGUGUCCGUACAGACUUUUAGUUUGAAGUUCGUGAGCAACUUGUUGCUCCAAAACUCAUUGUAACAGUUUCCUCAUUAAUAUAGUUCAUCUCUUGGGAAAAAGAAAAAAAAAACAAGAAGAAGAAGAAAGUGAUGCACCAAUUUGAGAUUCAGUCAUUUACUUCACAUUACUCUAACCAAAGAAAAACACAUGAAUCAAAAGUAUAGAACAAAUAGCACAGACAGCUGCUUUCUCCACAUAAUUAGUAAGAGCUCAAUAUCACAUUAAGCACAAGAUAGACUCAUAGUUCAGUACCGCAGCUAGCAAAUUUAUGUUACCUACGAAAUUCCUAGAAAACUUGGGACAACAAGAAGGCAAAAGAGUUCAAGUGAAAUUUAAGAUUACUGCAACUCAAAUAGUGUACUGGUGUUGGAAUUCAAGUCGUUCAACGGCCUCCAAAAGCUAGGUCGUUCAACUCUCCGACUAGAGUAGACAAAUCCAAGAAAGAUGAUCCACCUUCUUCAACAGCCCUCCUUGCAUUCUCCCCAAGCUCUUUCACUUUGCUUCUCAUUUCCACGGCUUCAUCACCCACCAUGAUUCUAGUCACAGCCUCCUCUAUGGCCUCCCUCCUCACCCUCCCUUCUGUCUCUGCCUCUACAUCCACAAAUGAGAAAGCCCAUUUUUCAGAACCAACAGGAACCCCAAUCCUAAGUAUCUCAGUCACCAACUUCUCAUUGUAAAACUGCUCGCCGAUCACCGGCCACGUGAUCAUUGGAACUCCAGCAGACACUGCUUCUAUUAUAGAGUUCCACCCACAGUGAGUCACAAAUGCUCCUAUUGCUUCAUGCUCAAGAAUUAGCACUUGAGGAGCCCAAUCUCUUAUGAUCAGUCCCUUACCUUCCAUUCUCUUCUCAAAUCCUUCAGGCAACCACUCUUCUACUUCUUUCUUUUCUUUCUUCACAACCCAAAUGAAGUCUUGUCCAGAAGCCUCAAGGCCUGUUGCGAUUUCUAGUAGCUGAGAAUCAGCAAAACGGACCAUGCUUCCGAAUGAUACAUAAACAACCGAGCGGGGUUUCUUUGAAUCAAGCCAUUUCAAACACUCAUGUUUCUCAGCAGUCGAGCUUUUUAUUGAUCCCCUCUCUGCUUUAUCCUCUAUUGCCUUGUUGCAUAAUGAAACAGGGCCGAUAUGCCAUGCCUUCCGCCCAAACACCUUCCUGUAAUGAUUUGCAUAAGCUGGUUCUAGUUCAUAAAAGCUGUUAACAAUAACCCCAUAGCUCCUUUCUUCAAUCUCUAUAGAUGCUUUGAGCAUCUUCAUAAAUUCUGACUCAUCAGGAAACACAGGUAGUUGGCUUCUAGUCAUCUUGAUUUCAUCGGGGAGAUUAGGAAUGGCAAAAGAUUCUGAAUCAGAUGACAAAUUACAAUGAGGUUGAUACAUCAUCACACUCAAUGUAGCACACAAUGGGAAGAAACCGGUUCCAUGGAAAUACAGCCUUGGAAUUCGAAACUUGGCAGCAACAUCUGUAGCCCAAGUAAAGAAAGCAUCAGCAACAAGGCAAUGAGGUCGAUGUUCAUCUAAAAUCUUCUCAAACUGUGGUUCAAGUAGAAAGGUGGCUUUGAUAAAUUUUCCCACCAUGUCUUGUGUUAUAAUCAAGUCGGCGCUUUCGCAAUCUUGAGGCAACCCUGCUUCAGCAGAUGGGAACUUAAUGAGAACAAGUUCAAUUUCACCUCUUUGGGUUGCUUUGGAGAAGAGUGGUGCAUUGAGGGGAGUAGUUACUAUGGUGCAUCUUGCCCCAUGAGAAGAAAAUAGUUUAGCUAUGUCUGUAAGGGGUAUGCUGUGGCCGCGAGCCAUGUAUGGAAGAAUGAAGAUAUGAAGCUGUUGGCAUGAUUUAGUUUCCAUGGCCAUAGGGCUGCAAUGCAGUCAGCACAGGCUCCCAGAUAAUGAUAACCUUGGUGGUGAAAGAAGAACUGAAAAUGAGUUGGGAUAAUCAAGGACUUGAGAGGCAUAUCUAUAGACACGGUGCCGUUCACCUGGUCAGCUGCUGACCAGGGAUUAUUUGGUCAUUUACCGUCAGAUCUGCUCCAUCUUGAUCCUAAGGCUCAGAUUUAUUACUUUUAUCAUUUCUCCCUUCUCCUUUAAUCAUUUCAUCUUCAAUAAUCAAAUGGGCACCCAGAUCUUCUCUUGAAUGCAGAAACCAAUUCCAAUCCGGGCUAAUAGAGUAGAACAUUCCAGAACAACAUGAACUCAAAUUGACACAGAGUAGCAAUGGUGUUGAAGAGAGAAAAGUGGGUAUCUGGAGGUGAGAAAGAAAGAAAAAGAGGUUAAGAUUCUGGAACUGGGGAAACUGAUUUAAGAUUGGAACGGGGGUGGAACGACAACUGGGUUCUGCAAAUAGGACGUGGAUAGCCGGAUGUUUUGGUCAGCGAUGACGGUGACGGCGGAGGCCAUUCAUAUUUGUCUCAAUUGGCUGCUCACCCAUUCUGAGUAUGUUUCCCUCCUCUUAAAGAAACUCAGAAAAUCAAUCCCAUAUCAACCAUGGAGUGGAUUCGAGGUGAGAAAUUGGUCAUGGAAGCUUUGCCACCUUCAAUUAAGUAAAACCCAAAACCAGUCUUCUAAACCAUUGGUGGUUGUCAAGUCUGAAGCCUCCUUAUCUGCUCUGCUUAAGAACGAGGAGCAAGUCCCCAACCAAAUCGGUUCCUGCCCGCAAAUCGUCCACUGCUUCGGAGGUGUUCUGCAACUUGUUCUUCGGCCGAAGCCGCCAUGGCAGGGAGCAUGGAAAAUUUUUGGAUAUCGAGAAGAGAUAAGAAAGUUUGGAAUAUUAAAUAAAAGUUAAUUCAAAAUAUAUAAAUAUUUCUGAGCCCUAGGAUCAAGAUGGAGCAGAUCUGACGGUAACCGGCCAAAUAAUCCCUGGUCAGCAGGUGACCAGGUGAACGGCACCGAAUGUCGACCAGACUUCUCCGACUCCUGAGUCCUUAUUGGACCCGGUGAUUCCAUUUGUUUGGCUACUGUCCACAGAGGUGGAUGGUCUUAGUAAUGACCGAAAGUGAUGCCUAAAUAAGCAAAUUGGACUGACCCAACUUUCACAUCUGUCAAAAUUUUACCAAAAUAUGAACUUGGGUGGAACUAAAACUGUCAUUCAUAUGCCUAGAAAGCUCAUCUAAAAGCUCAUCUAAAAGCAUUGUUCUUCCAUUAUUUGGCCGACCAAGAAAGAACAAAAUGAGAAACCCCAAAUGGAUAACAAUUUCAUAGAGUUGAUUGCAACUAAUAUACUGCUUAUGACCAGAAACUGAAACUGUAUCACCAUCUUAAUUUUCAAGCAAAGAUUAUUGCACUUUAUUUGGGUUUGCAUACCCUUCUCUCAAGCUCAAGUUGUACAGAUUACUACUACACAUACAAAACCAGGCAUACCACACUUGCCUCUCUCUAUAUACACUAAUGCAUUAAUUUCAGCUAAAUACAUAACCAUACUAGAUAGACACCUAAAACAACUGCUAAUCCUAGUACAGCACAAACUAGCAAUAUGAACUAGUCGUCGACAACCUUUGAUGUGGCAAUGCUUGUAAUGUACUCAAUCUCCUCCACGACUUCUUUCAUCGAAGGCCUAUUCUGUCUGCGUUCCUCCAAGCAACCCAAUGCCAAGAACCCUAGUGCCUUCAUGGUGUCCAGCUCCAAAGCUGUAGCUCCUUCUUUCAUCAUUGGAUCAAUUGCAUCGAUAAGCUUCUCUUCCGCCAUCAGCCUCUGCACAUAAACUGCAAGGUUCACAUCAUCGGCGUCCCUGUUGAAAUCUAUGGCUUUCUGAGAGGACAUCAGCUCUAAUAGCACAACACCGAAGCUAUAAACAUCACUCUUGUCAGUCAAUUGAUAGUUUCUGUAAUAUUCAGGAUCAAGGUAUCCGAGAGUUCCCUGAGCACAUGUUGAGAUGUGACUCAUAUCAGUAUGAGCCAAUCUUGAUAAGCCGAAAUCAGCAACCUUGGCAUUCAAUUUAUAAUCAAGCAGAAUGUUACUAGAUUUCACGUCACGGUGAUAGAUUGGAGGCACCGCUGAGAAGUGGAGAUAAGCUAGACCCUCAGCAGUGUCAUGAGCAAUCUGGAGACGUUGCAUCCACGAAAGAACUGAUCGACCAACACCUUUCCGAGCUUGCAGAUGCUCAAGUAGAGUCCCAUUCUCAAUGUACUCGUACACCAUAAUAGGCUGCUCUAGUUCAACACAACAACCAAGUAAAUGCACAAGACUCCUGUGGUUAACUUGGCACAGAAUUCGGACCUCAUUGAGGACCUGAUCAGUGCCUUUGGUGUUUCCAAGCUUGGCGAUCUUCACAGCCACGACAGUGCCAUCUUCGAGAGUUCCUUUGUAGACUUCACCAUAUCCACCAGCACCUAAGAGGAGGUCUCUGGAGAAGUUGUUUGUUGCCUUUUUGAUCUCUUUUCCGGUGAAGACUUUUGCGGCUCUGCCUCCAUUGGCGUUCAGGAUUGCUUCUCGCUCUUUGGUCAGGCGGUCUUGAGCUUCUUUGAUGCGUCUGUGGCGCUUGUAGAGUACAAUGGCAAUAGUGGCAGCAACUAGUGAUGCCCCAAUACCAGAAGUCAAACCUGCACAAGUUUUUUUGCACAUUGUUAGUCACUAAUCAAUCUGGCCUGGAAUUUAGCCUAUUGUAACUUAAACAAAUUGGGGGGGUGUCCCGAGUUCAUGUCUGAACCAAAACACACUUCGAAACACAUCAUCAUAUUUCACUACUAAUAGUUUCAUGAACUCUAUCAAUAGUUUGCGAAAUUAAUCAUCGUUUACCCUAUAGUAAACAAAUUUCUGACGAUAAUCAAAUAUACAUCUGAAUGAUAAGUUGUACGAUAUCUAAAAAUAUGAUUAUUUCACACAUACACAAAACUCUUAUAGUAGAAUAUCAGCUCUACGACACAUUACAUAUCGACUCAUUAAGUAUACGUAAACUUUUCGUAACAACGUAUCAACUUUUUACGGUUUUAGAAUAGUUUAAAAUAAAGCUAAAGUAAAAGAUAAUGAAGUUAUAUCGAACUAAUUAACUUGAUAUACUCAUGCAUCAAUAUAGCGUAAACAACUCAAAACUCUGCAAUCACAUAAAUUAACUCUACAAUAUCAUCACAAUUUACCUGCUAUUAGUCCAGUCCUGUCCUUUGAACCAGUAUCUGCCAAAAAAAAAAUAGUCAAACAUUAGCAUCUCUCUCAGCCAAUGACAAUCAUCCAAGUCCCCCAAAAGUCAAAACUGACAGCCGUACAAUAUCAUACUCACCGUCAACGCAAAACCCUGAAACCGGGUCCCACGUAAACCCGGAAUUACAGAAACACCUCCGCACCCCAUUCUGAACCGGGUCGGAUCCACACACCGACUUCCCGUCACAAUCCGACUGAUUACCGCACACCGGCUCCCUCGGCGCCACCCACUGUAUCUCCACCCCCGGCUCCGGCCACCGCGCCACCGGCAAAACAGGAUCCAAGUUCACAAAGCUCGUAUACGCGCUACAACCCGAGUCCCUGACCCGAACCAUGUACGACGUCGACGACCCGCCCGCCCGGAAAGUACAGCAAAUCGGAGCCGCCCUACACGCCCCCACAGAAUUCGUGUUGUUGACGUAAGUAUGACACAAGCUCGACGCCGAGCAGUUCAGCGGCGACCGGAGGAUCGAGUCGGUGCAGUUGAAGUAGAGAAUGGUGUUGCUGCUGGUGACGUUGAAGGGGAGGGACUCGUUGAGCUGGAUACCCUGGUGGAUGACGUCAGAGGUGACGCAGGAGGAGGGGGAGAGGAAGGUGGAGGGGCGUACGACGAGUCGUUGGGAGGAGGGGGAGAUGGAGGCGAUGGGGUAGGAGUUGUUGAGGGUGUCGAAGAGGAGGGAGGAGUUGCUGAGGCAGCGGAUUUUGUAGGACUGGUCGCCGCAGGUGGGAGAUGUGCUGAGGGGGUAGGGGACGGAGGUGGUGCCGCAGGGAGGGCAGAGUUGGAUGGAGAGUGCGUUCCACGCGCUGGAUAGGAGGAGGAGGAGGAGCGACGCCGUGAGGAGGCGGAGGUCGGGAGGAGGGGCCAUUUUGGAGAGAGAGGUUUUGGAGGAGUGAAGGUGUUUUGGGGGUUUUAAGAAGGCGGAUGAGGGGUAGAAUUGGAAGGGAGUGGGGAAAGUUUCGGAGACUAUUUGAAUUUUGGUGGGUAAACUUCCUUUGUCGCUUUAUGACAUUUUUGAACGGAAAAUUGUUUCCGUUUGACUUGUGACUUGUGAAUUGUGCCGGAAUUUGAUUUUCCUUGAAAUCGAUAUAAUAGAGAAAUGAGCUAGUGAGGAGUGUACUCCAACGGAGGGACAAUCAUAGAUUAAAGUUAGUGUCAAAGUGAUGCGUUUGCCGUGUAUUUAAAACCCUCGUAUCUUUUAUGUGUGUAAAGUUGUUUGAUAUACGGUGAGCAAAUCAAUUUUUAUCGCGUAAAAUGUAACAUAAGAAGAAAAUGAAUUUUAAAACAUGUCUCAAAGUUUGAGCGGAUUGUACAAUUUUUUCUUUCUUUUCACAUUAUAAGAGUUCAACCAAAAAUGGUUUCAAAGUCUCAAUGGUUCGUUUUAGUUACUUCGAUUAUAUUUUAUACACAUACACCAAUUACUUACCUUUAGCAAUCCAUCACCAUAAAUUGUGUCACAAAACCACCAUUAGACCCAUCGUAUUAUAGUAUCGUAGUCGACAACAUUUUUCUAUGUUAGGUCAGCAAUAAUGUCGUGAUUUGGGGAUUUCUCACUUCUUUACAUCGCAGCUAGUCCAGUCAAUGAGAGAAGAAAUGAUAACGCAGCCCGUUGUUUUCACAUAAUUGAGAAAGAAGGUAGUUUAAUACCAGAUAAUCUUGAGAAAGUGAUAUCUGCAGAUAUGGCAGCGUGCUGCGGUUAAGCAUUCAUCUAGAAGAUCAAAGUCUACUCUAUCUGUUCAUGCCAGCAUGGCCAUGGAAGUCAUUGAAUAACAAUAGCAAACCUUGACUUACCUUCGACUCUUACCAAACACAAUAAUGGCAUCACCUAUAAACACAAGUCUUAUCUGGAAGACAUGGAAAAUUGGAAAUAGUAGCAGAAAUCAUUAUUCACAUAAUUUCAUUGAUUGAACAGAAGAGAACCAUCCCCCUUACAUGAUUGGAGAUUUCCUAAAGCCCCCUCGUACAAAUACAAUUACAUUGAUCACAACAUGGCAGGAAUACACAAUGCACUGGAAUAUGCAGUACAUCUCUGAACUGAGGCGAUUGAUAUGCAGAUCCUGAUGAUGAACCUCUACCAUGGAAGAAUGCGCAAUGUGUGUAUAUACAUAUAUACGUACAGAGUACAUACAUAUAUAUGAUAUACGAACUAAUAUAUGUACAUGUAAAUCAGAUGACUACGAGUACAAUGAAUUACUGAUGCCUAACAAAACUGUAACAUGGCUUCUUUGGCCUGUGAAUUUGAGGAACUCAAGUCGGUAGUUCGGCCAGAAGCAAGGUAUGCCACCAGCCACAUGCCACGUUUUUGGGGACACAUCCAUCGAUCAUGACUUGGGCUGGAAUGUUGCGGUCUAUCACGUCGCCUAAGCCAAGCUUCAUCAUUUGCAACAAAUCACCAGUGUCAGAUUUGCAAGUGAAUACUUGAUAUGAGAGGAUAAGACUGCUAGAAAUGUUUCAUAGCAUUAAAUUAAAUGAAGUAUUGAUGAAAGCUGCUUCAUACCUGGCCAUACUUGUUCCAUCCCCAGCCAAACACUUUUGCAUCCUCUUCAUGGCACAAGAGAAUCAGCAAGAAUGAUGUACAAACAAGUUAGUUACUUCAGCAAUUAGAUGACAUCUCACAAGUAAAAGUUAAAAGAUUUUGUCUCCUAUAUCAGUUCUAUGCAUGGUAGGUCAACAAAAUCCAAACCACAGAAAUUCCACUUACAUCUACAUUUUCAUUCUUCUCCCAUCUAGUACUGAUGUGUUUUAAGGUGUUGUUGAGUCUCUUAUGAAAUAACCGACUAGAUAUUGAUAUUCUUUUCUAUCUUUUUUCUUUUCUAGCUUUUUUUUUCUCACUUUUUUUGCGUUCUUUGGAAUGAUGGGGGUGUGACAGUUGUAUAACACACGAAUCGAAAGUGUGGUCAUAACCAAUUAAGACUGGACACACUUCGUGAUUUAGCUUCAAGAAAAGUCAGCUAUCAAGAAAGCGUAAGGGAGCCUUGAACAGCAGAAGAAGACAUACCGGUGAUAAUGCAACUAUGACGAGCUCCACAGGAAACAAUUUUUGCAUUCACAUUUUCCAGAACAGGAGCAUCCAAAAGCCUCGGAAUAGUCUGGAUUACAAUUCAAGAAAAAUCAAUUAAGCAAUUUUGCAGAUAUCAAGACAAUUGUCGACAUGAAAACUGAUGAAUUAUAAAUAUAAAAAGAAAUAGAAACUAGCUCUCUAAAAGAAAACAGUAAAUAAAUUCCAAAGAACCAUCUUUAGUUUAUCUGUUAACUUAAUUGUUUCCCAAUUAAUGAAAUCGUUGUUAGCCUAUAGUCUAAUAUAGAAUUGGCUGUUUUCAGACUUCAGAGUUUACCUCAGCUUGAUCAGCUCCAGUUCCCAACUGCCCAAACUGAUUCCCCCCAAAUGCAUAAACAUCACCAUCAGCUGAAAUGCAGACAGUAUGCCACAGUCCUGCAGCAACACUCUCUAUCCGGAUACCAAGUAAUGAAGAUACACAAAUUGGGCUUAGUUCAUCAUCUGUACUUCCUUGUCCACACUUAACCAGAAAAAGACAUUUGAAGGAAAUCAGUUUCACUCCUUUAUCAUCAGAGUUCAGAAGCAAACAUGUGCAGUAACAAACAAAAUGGGAGAUAGAAAAUAUGGAGCAAGAACACAAAGGUUGUUUCUCUUUAAGUGAGCCUCAUCUUGAGAACCUACAGUACUUUCUUCUCCACCCUUCCUACAGCAACUACUAUUGAAUCUGGAGAAUGAUUAAAGCUUGGGAACUCCAAUCAAGUGUUGCAUAUGAUCAUUAAGAUUUUUAAACUGUUCCCCUUUAGUAGUAGGACAAGGUAUGUUAGCAAUAUACGCAAUGAGGUUUUCUGAUUGUUUUUGGUUGCUACUGAGCAUCUUUCUAUAAACGAGACUGUAACUGACAGUUUUGCAAUCAACAUAUCAUACAGAAACUUGGAAAGGGAAUUUUGAAUCGACUUUUCACUAUCCAGCAAUUAGUUGUGCAGUAGGAUGCAGCACAUUUAACCCAGGUCAGCACCCUUCCACAUUAAGACAGAAAUAUUUCCACAAUAACAUUCUCAAGAAGAGAAACCAUGAGGCACAGAGAAAGUCAAAGAAAGACUUAAUACUUCAGAAACUCACCUGUCCAUAAAGCCCCCAACCGAAAGUAAGUAGUGCUCCAGCAUCUGUAACAUAAGAAUUGAAAAACAAAUGACUGAAUGACCAUAAACUUUUAAUAGCUAAAGGGCACCAAUUUAGGAAUGCAAAACAUCUCACUCGUACCACAUGUCAAAGUGUCAAACUAAGCAAAAGUAUCCUCGAAUAAAGAAGGUUUGCCCUCUGAUAAAUCAUGUAGUUUGAAGGCGGAUCUUAUAGUUCCAAUGAUUGAACAUCCUUCAAGCUAUAAUUGCCACCAAGCAUAGUCAACUUAGUUUUGACAUCAGUUUAGAUUAAAUAUUCCAUAUUUACUCUCCGAUUUGUUACCUUUAGCAUACCAAAAUGUCAAUACGUACAGAAUUUUGUAUCAGCAAACAGAGCUCCAAUUAAAAGUGAGCUCUCGAAUAGCGGGUUGUCUUUUAUAAAUGAUAGUGUUUGACCUAUUUCCAUCUAAUUGAAUUUUCAAAUUGUUUUCUUCCAACUCAACAAGCAGUUUUAGAGUUCUUUAAAUGAGGAAACUUUUAAAGAUAAUGGCAGUGGAGAGAUAUGUAAAAGGUACAGCACCAUUGAGACAUUGAGCAUGUAGAACAAAUUAACAAACUUAUCAUUAUCAUCCAGCUUGAUUGACCAUGUAUGUAUUAACUAAAGUGGCUAACAAACUUAAAACUUGUACCUGUGAUCACUGCACUAUGUCGACCUCCACAGGCAAUCCCUUUCACAUAAUUUCCAGGUACUCCGAAACUGUGUUCAUCUGGAUUCAUGAUGCCAUAAGAAGAGGACUUGACACAAGGUAUAGGAUGAGGGGAGGACACCAUACGUAUCCGUGAGCCCAGACCGAGCUGCCCUUCACCUCCAUAUCCCCAUCCCCAGACCUGUCCCAUGUCUGAACUUUGGGAAAUCAGAAUACAUCACAAGUCUUGCUUUAUAAUAAUUUUUUAAACAUGAUACCGCAUUUGAUACUUUAUGCAAAGACGCCAAUGAAAAGAGUCUAUGGAACUUGUAUGUGGUAGGACAAGUAUAGAUCAGAAAAUGGCAAGUUACCUGACAAUGCUAGAGUAUGGCGUCCUCCAGCAGCAACAUUGGCUAUUCUAACUCCUGGGUUCAAUGCCACAAGAUAGGGCAAUGCCGAGAGGGUUUCAUCACCAGAUGAUGAACUUUCACCUGCUUGCUUUGCGGAAGAUACUCUUCUUCGCUUUGAAUAUUCUUCUCCAGCUCCCCGAGCUUCAGUAGCAGACAUUGUUCCGCUACUGGAUCGUGAGCCUUGAGAACGAGGGCUAACUAUAUCAUAACCAAACAUAAGUUAGCAAUCGAUGAAACAAAUCUUCUGUCAUUUUCAACAAAAAUAGGCCAAAUUGAAACUACCUUGGUCUGUCAAGAAAGAACACUGCCUUUCCAUUACAUCCUUCUCAAAGUUUGUACCCAUAGAUGGUUCCGCAAUGACCUUCCCAGAGGGAACACACUCUUUCCAUCCCCAUGUGUAAACUGCUCCCAUAUCUGCAUCGAAACUAAAACCCUUAAUGCCUCCGGUAUGCAUCAUAACUAAAUAACAAUGGGAGAAAUACAUAAAUCAACUUUGUUUCCAUACUUCCAUCAGUUAACAAGUUGGCUGGCUUGGUCUUCUUGUAGACAUUUACUCGUUUGAGUAAAAUCGUAUUUCUUGAUCAAAUGAAGUUGGGAAAUCAAGAAUACCUGUAACUGCAACACAAUGCGCCCAACCUGCAGCUGCCUUUACUAGAGAAACUUCAGCUGGAAGAGGAAAAGGCUCCGGCGUUUCCUUCAUAAAGUAAAAUUGAAAGCAAUGUGGCUUAGUUCUGCCAACUACAACAAUGAAGGAACUCAAUGAAUCAACAAAAAGGUAUUUGUGCAAUGCCACUCUACCCCAUGCUUCCCAGAUGUCACAUAGCUCUGACCUAGAUCAUCUGUUGAACCCCAUGUAAUCAGCUUCCCAGAAUCUAGGCCAAAACAUAACAAAAAAUCAUAAGCAACAGACUUCUACCUAGGAAAUACAACUAGACAUUGCAAAUCAGCAUUGCAAAGAAAUUGACAGAAGCAAAGGCUUAGUUUCAAUCCAAACUGUUAUAUCCAACAAGUACCAAGCUGUCAUUGUAAACUGACUAAAAUCACAGAAUCCUUUUCACAAUACCAAACUAUAACCAAAGCAAACCCUCAUUUACCCAAACCAAUCACAGUAAAAUUAGUUUACUUUUACCAGGAAAAUGACAGAAUACUGGAAAACAGAGAAAAAAAAAAAAUCAAAUCCCCAAAUUCACUGUGGAAUGAGAAUUUAAAAAAAAAAAAAAAAGAACAAAUAAACCACCAACUAACUUCACAAGCUGCUUGAGCAAGUUCUCUACUUUCUACAGCAGCUAAAAAAAUUGGUAUUCUCAAUUUUAGUCCACAUUUUUUCAGCAACCAAAUAGAGGCAAAUGCAAUGAAAAUCAUUAACGGAAACAAAAAAAAAUCCAAAAUCCAAUGCUGAAAACAAAGCUAGAAAAUUUAAUUUCAAGAAAUCAAAUUCCGAAAAUCUUGAAACUAAGAAAUGUAAAGAGACAGAAGCGAGCACCAGAAAUGGCCAUGGCGAAGCCGCAACCGCCGCCAAAGACAUCCCUCCACUGGUAAUCGCCACCCGGCCUCACAACCGUCGGCGACAAAAGCGGCGACCUUUGCGGCAGAGCUCCCGGAAGAUAUCCCCACAUGAACACCACCUUCUCCCCGCCGUCGUCUCCCUCCUCCAUUCUCACAUCUCCGCCGUCAUUCAUCGCCGGAAAAACCGAAACCCAAUAAAGGAAACUAGUGGUGGAUUUGGGUUUCUUUUUCUGGAAUUUUCUUCUGGGAUUGAUUAAAAUGAGAAAUUUGAUUUAGAUUGGUGGAGAGGUUGAGCUUGGUGGACUUAGACUUUAAGUGAAAUUUUUCGAAGUGCCCUAAGUAUUUUGCUGGGUGCGCAAACAAUGGGGCCGAGAAUCAUUUUCAGGAAAUUGAGGAGGCCACGUCGGACUCUUCACGUGGUUCUCCCGCCACGUGGCGCGAAAUACACCGCUAGAUGCCAUGGCCAUUGCAAGCCAGUAAUUCCCAGAAGUUUCUGGAAGGCCAUUCUUUCCGACCCCAUAGAACAAGGUUGGGAGCUGGCGUGGUUGCAUUAGGUCCUGCCACGUGUGGGGAUGUGAUGCAAGCCCCAAUGAUUGUCUGUCACCACUUGUUGGCCUCUUGAUUGGGACUUGACCAAAUAUUUCUUCUGCUGUGAUAAAUGUGCUUUCAUCAAAAUCGUAACUCCCCCAAUAUAAUUAGUGUAAUUGUUCGAUUAAUUAUGAUUCAGAUUUUAUUAUCAUUAUGUACGUUAUAGUUAUCUUUGUAAUAUCACGUUUAUAUAUAUAAAGAGGAGCUUCAAUGAAAUGUAAACCAAUUCCAUUUUUCCUAUUACAUACUGUUAUUUUCUCUCUCAAAUAUUGUCCUUAAUUUUUGGUACUAAGACAAGAGUGUGCUUGUUCUUAUUGUUCUCACCUGAAAUUUUCAUUAACUGUCGAGAAAUCGAUUAAUUUAGUGUUAUGUCAUGGAGCAUUCUUAUAAGAACAUACCACAUUAGGAAGUAUUAAGCCUUUUUAAUUUCGAAUAUGUUUAAUUAGAAUGUUGUUUAAGUGUAUCAAAUUGGUUUUAAGCUCUUGUAGAAUCAUUAAGUUAGAAGGUUAGGAUUAUUGAAGUCCUUGGCAACCAUUCCUUAUCAUAUACGAGGAGUACAUGCAUGUUUGCUCGAUGAAAUUAUGCCUAAUUUCAAUUAACACACGCAUAUGAAGUUUGGUAUGUGUCUUACUUUGCAUCCCAACACCCAGAAUGUUCCAAUUACGUACUAAUCAUAUUUGGCUUGGUGCAAUAAGGUGCACAUUGUUGGUAUGCAAAAAGAUUGUGUUAAAGUAGAAAGCUAUGGAAAAUAAAAAGUUAUGUUAUACGUUGGUCUACACUUAUGUAAUGAUGAACUAACUAAACUAAACUAAAAACUCAAUCCGAUUGUUCAAAAACGUACGAAGGAUGGAUGCAUAUACUUGAACCUGUCCGUGAAACAUACUUGACCUUCAUGUGGCAAGAGAUCCUUGUCCAAUAAUUGCAAACGGACCCAGGAUCGUGUGUGGUUAGACUCGAGACAUCAACACGAUAUACUGUUUGAGAAUGCAAUCCCAUGGCUAGUAUUAGGAUUUUCAUGAUUGAAUCUAUCUCAACAGGGUGGGACAGAAAUUUCAAGUGGUGAUUCGAAUACGGAUCCGUAACACCACAAACUAGACGAAUGUCUUACUCUUACUACACAUGUUUCAUCUUUAAGCCUCAUACAAGUGCUAGACAAUAUGGUACCCUAUUAUUAGGGUCCCUAUGAUAUUAUGUUCUUACACUUCUUAAUCAACGACUCGUUCUCAGAACUCCUCCUGUGGCUAGGAAACUAGGUCCCAGACUCCUAGGGCUCCCCCUGCGGCGGACCUACAGUAAAUCCAGUGGUUCGGAUGAGAUAUUGGGAUGAAUUAGAGACUGGUAUUGCAACACAUCGUCGUAGUACUGGCUCGUACGUACUGUCUGGGUUAGGGCUCUACCAGUUUGCGACACAUGGUGUUCACUGAGACCUCUCAGACUUUAGGGUUUGGAUUACGAUGAUCAUUCUGAUAUGGGGCCGUUUAGAACUGCAGCGGUGAAGACGUGAAGUUCCAUGCAUGCAGGGUAGGGGCCCUAUAUCGAUUUGUAUGAGUAUAUGUUGUUGCAGGAUGGAAUGUAUGGAAUGUAAUUAACUAUGGAUGUCCUCCUCAGGUUGUAGGAUGUGUUUGAUUCUCUACUUCAUAAAAUAAACUUAGACCCUUAACCAUUUAUUUGGAAACAAUUUCACUUAUGAUGUAUAACAUAUAUGUGUGUGUUUUGAUCAAUAUGGGUUCUAACGUUAUAUACUGGAACUACUAAAAAUGGAAAUACCUAAUAUAUGUUGGAAAGUCAAUCGUGGUGUAUCUUCUUCUCUAUUAGGAAUAUUCUCUGUUAGGAAUGUAUAUAUGUGUGAACAUAUGUUUCUCAAUAUGAUUCAUAAUUGUAAGAUAGUUUCCUAAGUUAUAUUACAUUGUUCAUUGUAUAUGUAUUCACGUUUUUAUCAAUGAAAUCAUUCUGGUCAAGCUAUUAUCUUUUCAAUAUACUUGAAUAAAAUGGAAAUGUUUGGUGGUCGCAAGAUGCAAAAUUGGCUCAACCAUAGCUAGCUAUUAAGCUUAGAGUAUCACGUUGAUCUCGAUCACGAUCAAAUAACACUUGCACGUUAUAGAGGAUGCCUUUAAAUCUAAGAAUUUAGCAUUUCCUUGUUUGGAAGUUGUAAUCGAUGAAUAGAUCGAUUGGAAUCAGAGAUCUCCUUGUUUACUAGCUAGCUUUUGUUCUUCUAAAUCAGAACGACAAAUAUUUUCCAAACUGAAUUCAUUGUGCCUUAUAAAGAGAGACGAUAGGUGGUUUAAACCCAUCGCAAGGAAGAGAUUGAAAGCUUGAGGUGGAAUACAAAACCAUUCAGAUCCUACAUUCUUUCCUUAUCUCAAGUUUGCUAGCCGACCUAGACGAGGUGGAUCAUUACAUAACCAUUUUAAUUAGUUCCGGCUCGGGUACAUCAUCCUCCUAAUUCGAGAUUAAUUAUCAUUCAAACUUUGCUUCUUUUUGGAAUUCUGGGUUUGUUUUAUAUUCAGAAAAGAUUUAUUUGUGCAGCCAUUUCUUGUGGGACAAUAUGAUUUCCAUGAUUCGGUUCUGUAUCCUACCAUUUACAUGUGGUUUUAGGAGAAAAUUAAUCACGGUAUGUUGUUUUUCUGUUACUUCAAUUUAGAAUUUUGGAUAGCUGUUUAGUCUAUAGCCCCAAUAUUAGUUGUUUAUUGUAGAUCUUAUUACUUGUACAAGAUCUAUCAAGAAUUAUGAUGAUUGGUUUGGCUUAGUCACCAUUUUUCUGGGUGUGUACAGAGAAUAAGAUCGAUGGUGCCGAAGUUAAGGUUAUCUCCUUGUCUGUCACGGACUAAAAGGAAGCUUCAGGCUGGUCCUAAGAAAGCAGUGGUUGGUAUUUUUGCCUUUGAAGUUGCAAGUGUGAUGUCUAAUCUGGUCAAUAUAUGGAGACUUCUCAGUAAUGAAAAAGUUGAUCAUACGCUCAGAAAAUAUUUCUCACGUUCGGUGGGGAUAAAAAAGCUUGUGUCACAUGAUGAUGAUUUCAUUCGAGGUUUAGUAUCUGGUGAAUUGUUUGAGAAUAUGAUCCCUAUAGAAAAAUUUGUGGCUAGGCUUGAGAAGAAUCAUUGUUCUAAUCCUAGGUUGAAGGAUUUUGAGCAUGCUGUUAGUAAUUGGAUCAACAAUGGUAUUGACCCUUUUGUAUGGGAACUUCCAUGGGAGGAGAUGGAAAAGGAAGCCAAAAAGAUGGAGAGGUUCAUUUCAAAAAAAUGCAGCUUUGUAUGAGGGGAUGAAACAUCUUUCGGAUCUUGAACAUACUUUGAAAAACAUCAGUGCCACCUUGGAUGAUCCAAUUUUGCUUGAGUUUCAGAACAAGGUAGAGCUGAAGCGGCUCGAGGUGGAGAAUUUGAAAGAGGGGUCUUUGUGGAACAUAACUUUCAAUCACAUAGGUAUCCUUUUGGCAAGAUCUGUCUUCACAAUUUUCAAUUGUAUCAAGUCUGUUUAUGGAGUUCCUCAUCAACUCAUGGCGGAUGCAGAUCACACUAGUCCUAGUCCAUCAAUUUUCAGCAAGUACAAGCUGUUGGAUGCUCCUCCCGACACGCUCGGUGCUGCUGCCUUAGCACUCCACUAUGCAAAUAUUGUCAUCAAAAUUGAAAGUUUAGUAAGACAUCCCAUCUCUCUUUAUAGUAGCAGACGUGACCUGUACAGAAUGUUGCCUGCAAAUAUGAGAGCUGAGCUAAGUGAAAGGCUGCCCUCCAUCCAGAGCUUGACUUAUUCGUCUGUUGAAGAUGUUGCAGCAGAGAAGAAGGUGGCAAUGGCUGAAAUAAUUGAAUGGUUAGCACCACUUGCUCAUAAUACGAAGAAAUUGCACUCGAAGAGGAACUUUAAACAACAGAAGGCCUGUGUUUCCAGGAGCCAUGUGCUUCUGGUACAAACUCUAUACUUUGCAAAUCAACAGAAGACAGAAGCAACUAUUAUGGAAAUUAUUGUUGGUUUGCAGUACACUGCUUGCAAGCUCAGCUUAAAGCUCUACUAGAGAAGGACCGCCUCAGGUUGCGUGAUAUAGAAAUACAGUACCAUAUAUUCACAUGCCUGUUGAUAAAACCAAAUUCAUAAGCUUUGUCAAUUAGGAGUCAAUCUAUAUAAGCUUCCCAUUUGGGUUAUGAUUUUGUUUUCCUUCGUCCCAUAGGUUGAUAUGUUGUACAUAUUCUUAAGAUUCAUCAUCAAAGUCAAGCAUUCUCUAUUUUGUUCUACCUCUCUUGAUAUUGAUCAUAAGUUCAUAACAGUAGUGUAGUACUUGUAGACUGGUAUAUACUAACUACAACCUAAACCUAUUUGGGUAAUAAAAAGAAAAAAAUGGAGUACGUAUAUACGCUGUUCUCGAUCACAGUCGAAUAACAACACAAUAUAGAUGAUGCCUUGUGCACACUUUGCACACUGAAAUUAACACAGAUGUAGCAUGUUAUGAAAAGGUAAGCCAACCAAUCCGUGUGAUGAACAACUCUCAUGCAUGCCUCUAGAACCUGCUAAUUGGGUUGAAUCUGUCUAUAUAUAAAGCUCGACUCUGAACACCAAAGUUCCAUAACACAAAGCUGAAGCUAGAUAUAUAGGAACUACAGCCAGUUACAUUAUUAGAUCAUGGAAAGCAGGAAGGUGCAUAGCGUGAGCAACUUCCAGAUGCCCUUGCACUACCCUAGGUACACCAGAAAGGACUACGAGGACAUGCCGGAGUGGAAGCUCGACCGCCUUCUUGCCGAGUAUGGGUUGCCGGCUCACGGUGACUUGGCUUCCAAGAGAGACUUUGCAAUGGGUGCCUUUCUCUGGCCUGAUAAUUGUCGCAAUGGUCACAAUCCAAACAACUGUAAUUCAUACAAUAUCGCUAGCAUUAAGGCGGAUGGUUCCAGUUGAUUCUGGGUCUCAGAGAAAAAAAUCUUAUGUAGCUUCAUAGCUUCUUGUAGUUUCGAUCCACGUACGCAUAUCUAGAUUUCUUUCAGUUUUUGUUUAAUUUCUUUAAUAAGAUUUAAAAAAAGUUCUCAAUUUGCAUUAAUAAUAAUAAUAAACGUACACAGUCUUUCUAAUUAAAUAGAAAAUCAGGAUCGUCAAAUACAGAGUAUCUUCUUAUAUUCCUAAUAAUAUUAGACACAGUCACACAGGCCAAGAAGCUAGCUAGUUAUUGAACAUUUCUUCACUAGCCGACCAAGGCGAGUUGGAAUGUGGAUUAAAUAACCAGUUUAGCUCCUUGAUCCUUCUUCUACCGCUUGGAUACAAAGUUGUUCCGGUAGAUCAUCCUCCUAAUUUGAGAUUAUUAUUCAAACGUUGCUUCUUUAGAAUUCUGUGUUUGUUUAUAUGUUUAUAUGCAGAAAAAAUUUAUUUGUGUAGCAAUAUUGAGGGAUAAUUUUCUUUCAUAUAUAUAUAUAUUGAUUGGGGAUGAUUUUGGUUAUGUAUUCUUCUGACCAAGAGUUUUUUUGAUUCUGUAUCGGGUUUAGGAGAAAAUUAAUCACGGUAUGUUUGUUUUGUAUUAGAAUUGUAUUACUCUUCACUUUGGUAGCUGCAUCUUUAGUCUAGCCCCAUUGUUUUUCAUUGUAGGUUUAUUAUUUUAUACAAGAUAUCUAUCAAGAAAUAUGAUUGUUUGUAGCUGCUCAGUCAUAAGAACCAGGAAAAGCCUCUUAGGGUUUGGUUUGGGGAUGUGAAUUCAAAAAUUGUUAGGGUUUCGUGAUCCUGGUGAUCUAUUCUACCGUGCACUAGAUAAAAACAAAUUAGCUAGGGUAAUUUUCUUUGUUUAAUUCAGUGAUUUGAUUUUUGAUGGUGUUAUUUUCUACAGAAUUGGUCAGCUUGAUUUGGCUUACGCAUCUUUAUUCUAAUUUUCCGGGGCUGGGGUGUGUAAGAGAUGGUGGUAAAAUCGAGGUAUGGAAGGCGGUUCAGGACUAAAAGGAGGAAGAAGAAAGCAGUGGUUGGAAUUUUUGCCUUUGAAGUUGCAAAAGUGAUGUCUAAGCUGGUCCAUCUACGGGAAUCCCUGAGUCCUAAACAAGUUGAUAGGCUCAGGAAAUUUAUCUCAGAUUCUAUGGGGUUGAAAAAGCUUGUGUUACAUGAUGAUGAUUUCAUUCGAGGUUUAAUACCAGGUGAAUUGUUUGAGAAAAUGAUCCCUUUAACAAAAUUUGUGGCCUGGCUUGGGAAGAAUCAUUGUUCUGAUGAUCCAAGUUUGAAAGAUUUUGAGCAUGCUGUUACUGAUUGGAUCAACAAUGGUGUUGACCCUUUUGUAUGGGAACUUCCAUGGGAGGAGAUGGAAAAGGAAGCCAAAAAGAUGAAGAGGUUCGUUAAAAUAAAUGCAGUUUUGUAUGACGGGAUGAAACAUCUUUCGGAUCUUGAACAUACUUUGAAAGACAUCACUGCCACCUUGGAUGGUCCAAUUUUGCUUGAUUUUCAGAACAAGUUAGAGCUGAAGCGGCUCGAGGUGGAGAAUUUGAAAGAGGGGUCUUUGUGGAACAUGACUUUCAAUUACAUAGGUAUCCUUUUGGCAAGAUCUGUCUGCACAAUUAUCAGUCGUAUCAAGUCUGUUUAUGGAGUUCCUCAUCAAAUCAUGGCAGAUGCAGAUCACACUAGUACUCCUAGUCCAUCAAUUUUCAGCAAGUACAAGCUGUUGGAUGCUCCACCCGACACACUCAGUGCUGCUGCACUGCACUAUGCAAAUAUUGUCAUCCAAGUUGAACGUGCAGUAAGAUGUUCUUUCGCUGGCAGAAGUGACCUGUACAGUAUGUUGCCUGCAAAUAUGAGAGAUGAGAUAAAUGAAAGGCUGCCCUCCAUCAGGAGCUUGACUUUAUCAGUUAUAGAUCUUGCAGCAGAGCGGAAGGUGGCAAGUGAUGAAAUAUUAGAAUGGUUAGUACCACUUGCUCAUAAUACGAAGAAAUGGCACUCCAAGAGAAACUUUCAACUGAAAGCCUAUGUUUCCAGGAGCCAUGUGCUUCUGGUAGAAACCCUCUACUUUGCAAAUCAACAGAAGACAGAAGCAACAAUUAUGGAACUUAUUGUUGGUAUGCAGUACAGCUGGGAAGCUGGGCUAGAAGCUCUACGAGAGAAGGACCGUCUCAGGCGUGCUCUAAAGGCAGCCUCCCUGGAAGACCAAGACAAAGGCAAGUCAUCCAUUGUUCUCUAGGAAAUUAAAUCAGUUCGAAAAUUAAGUUAUAUUAUGAGUGUGCAUGGUAGUCACAUCUAGUGUUAUUGAGAGUCCAUUUAGGUAUUUAAGUAGAAUGUCUCUUAUAAUCUGACUUGAGUACUUUUAAAGUGCUUUGGUACUGUACGAGUAUAUGCUUUUACAAUGUCUAUAAGGGCAUCUCUUAUAGAAUUAUAUGGUGAAUGCUAUUGGAACAUAUAUAGUUGUGUAUCGGAGAUCAAACUGUGAGAUAGACUCAUUCAGAUGUCAAGAGCAUGUUUUAUCAGCUUGAUUAAUUAGUAGUAUAUAACUCUAUAUUAUUCCCUGGAACUGUACGAUUCGUAUGCUGAAUCACAUUCAUUUGUCAAUUUGAUUUUGCUUUGCUCUUUUACUUUAGAUCUUGGUUUGUGCCUUUGUGGAGUUUCACCUAGCUAGCAGGGACAAGUGUUCUGAAUGAAAAUUUGUGUAGAUCAAGCAGUUAUGAUUUAAUUCUAGGCUUCUAGCUGAAAACUUCCAUACCAUGAUUUAUAAUGAAAAAGGGCUGAAUACCAGAUAGUUCAAAUCCAUAGAUGUGACUCUCUCUCUCUCUCUUCUUUUUUAAGUACGUUCAAAUUGUAUGUGUCUUUUAUUAAAUAAGUUGUUGCUACAGCAGACAUCAAUUCUGCAAAUUUGUAGUGUUUUAGAGGGUUUAUGGAGUUCCUCAUCAAGUCAUGGCAGAUGCAUAUCACAGUAGUCCUAGUCCAUCAAUUUUCAGCAAGUACAAGCUGUUGGAUGCUCCACCCGACACACUCGGUGCUGCUUCCUUGCACCAUGCAAAUAUUGUCAUCCUAAUUGAAGAUUCAGUACGAUAUUCUGCCGUUCUUUGCAAUCGCAGAGAUGACCUGUACAGAAUGUUGCCUGCAAAUAUGAGAGCUGAACAAAGUGAAAGGCUGCCUCCAAUCAAGAGCUUGACUUCAUCAGUUCUAGAUAUUGCAGCAGAGCGGAAGGUGGCAGUGGCUGAAAUAGCAAAAUGGUUAGCACCAUUUGCUCAUAAUACGAAGAAACGGCACUCCUGCUUGCUUAUUUACAUGUUUUCCUAGUCUGUAUAUAAUGUUCACGAUGUGAGUAGUGAAUACUACAACCGAACUUGUAGUUUCCUAUUCCCAAAUACGAGCUUUAAGUGGUGCUUCUCAUCAUUACUAGCCAAUAGAGUUUAGUGUAAUAACUAUGUUAUUAUCAAUGAGUAAAUACCAACUUACUAAUCAAGCUCUAAAAGUAAAAGAGCAAAGGCAAAACCAAGAUCUGAAAGUAAAAGAGCUAUGUGAUGCAGCACAGUAGAACUGUAGAACCUCAAAUGAUACGGUUCCAGGGAAUAGAGUACUACUAACUAAGCUGAUAAAACAUGUUCAUAAUUGGCAUCUGAAUGACUGUCUCUCCUUUAGACCACUAUGUUCCAGUAGCAUUCACCAUAUUCUACUGUAAAAGUACUCGGUCAGAUUAUAAGAGACAUUCUACUUAAGUACUUGAAUAAUGGACCCUCAAUCACACUAGAUGUGACUAGGACACUCAGUCAUAUAACUCAACUGUUACAGUAACACUCUUAAAUAGUUACUGAUUUGGAUUCCUCCAGAACGACUGAUGCCUUGCCUUUGCAUCCAUAAGAAACACGCAUUUCCGCAGCUUGCUUUUUGUAUUGCAAACCAACAAUGAGUCGCAUAAUUUCUGCUUCUGUCUCCUCUUGUCCUGCAAAGUAUAGAGUUUCAACCAGACGCACCUGGCUACAGCCAUAGGCCUUCUGGUGACGCUUCCACAUGGAGUGCCAUUUCUUGGUAUUAUGAACAAGUGGUGCUAACCAUUCUAACGUUUUAGCCGUCGUCACCUUCAUCGGUGCGGCAAUUUCUUUAACUAAUGAACAACUCAACCUCUGGAUUGGAGACAGCCUGUCCCUUAGCUCAUCUCUUAUAUUUGCAGGCAACACACUAUACAGUUCAUCUCUCCGUUUAGAAUAAAGGGAGACAGGAGAACGUACUAAACGUUCAAUUAGGAUGACAAUGUCUGCAUAUUUCAGAGCUAAGGCAGCAGCGCCGAGUGUGUCAGGUGGAGCAUCAAAGAGCUUGUACUUGUUGAAAAUUGAUGGACUAGGAGUACUAGUGUGAUCAGUAUCUUUGGCCAUCAGUUGAGGAACUCCAUAAGCAGACUUGAUAUCACUGAAAAUUGUGAAGACAAAUCUUGCCAAAAAGAGACCUACGCAAUCAAAAGUCAUGUUCCAGAAAGACCCCUUUUUUAAAUUCUCCACCUCGAGCUGCUUCAGCUCUACAUCGUUCUGAAUCUCAAGCCAAAUUGGACCAUCCAUGCGGUUCCUAGUACAUUCAAGAUCCGAAAGAAGUUUCAUCUGGUCAUACAAAUCUGUGGUGAUCUUAAUGAAUCUCACCAUCUUUCCACCUUCCGUUUUCAUUUCCUCUUCUGAAAAUUCCCAUCCAAAAGGGUCAACACCACUGUUGAUCCAAUUACCAAGAGCGUGCUCAAAAUCCUUCAACCUAGGAUCAGAGCAAUGAUUCUUCCCAAGCCUGGCCACAAAUUUUCAGUGAUAUCAAGUCCUAUAUCUAUAUGUUGGUGUAUAUAUACAACUAUGGGUGUCCUCCUCAGAAGCAGUGGUUGGAAUUUUGGCCUUUGAAGUUGCAAGUGUGAUGUCUAAGAUGAUCCAUCUACGGAGAAUGCUCAGUAAUAAAAAAGUAGGCUCAGAAAAUUGAUCUCAGGUUCGGUAGGCUAGGGUUGUACAUGGUCUACUAACCUUGUAUGGGUGACGACACGACGCGGUGAAUUUUUUAAUUUUUUACUUCUGAUCUGAAGCACGCGCGCUUGACGCGUCUUGCGCGUGUCACCGUCAUAUCACCUAAUCGACCUCACCAUGACACAAUCGGAGGAGAGUGAAAGCAAAUAGAGUUUUGGUUUGGAGGUCGCUCUGCUCCUCUUUCUUUUCUGGGGAUCGAUCCGGGCUGUGCGGCGGCAACGUUUUCAGAUCGGCACUUUUACUUAUCCGAGUACUUCGACCAGCAGAGGCUCACAGGCUUCACAGCCCCAACUUCGUCGAGCAACGCUGCUUCCGCUUCUCAAAGUCCCGCUGGAGCUACCUUUCUCUUGAUUCAACUGUCGGGAGUUUUGGUUAUAAAGUUGAAGGAUAAGAAAACCUGCAUGCUAACGACAGUAAGUUCUAUGAAUGAAUUUAUCGUUGGUAAUGGUAUCGUUCCAAUUUGAUUCGGAAAUGGGCAUUUUGGUCAAUGGUUGUAUCAAUUUGUGCUAAUAUGUAUCUGGUAUCUGGGUUCAAAUCUUCUUGAAAUUCUCUCUCUGCUUCAAAAUUGAAUUCAGCUCUAUUAUAAUAGUUCAGUAUCUGAUUCUAGGACUGGUUUUGAUCGAUUAGUCUGUGCAGUUUGGAUUUACAAUAACACUGGAACUAUCCUGAAUCCAGAUCUGUCUCUAGCGAUUCUACUUCUCAUAUUAUAUAUGUUUUUGCCUCAAUCCAGAUCGAGUCUUAAUCCACUACUGUGCAUUGAUGAAGUUACCCACCUCUAUCAUCAAUCGCGGAUAAGAGUUACCGAAAGUCACGCGCUCAGUGGGAUAACGGAGUCUCACGGGGACACUUAUUGAACAUGCCGAUCGCUGCUUGACACGUACUCCCGACAGCAAAAGUAGACAAGCUACUGCAUACAUUCCAGAACUCAUCUUGUUUGAGAAUCAUUGUUCCCAAGCCUGGACAUUUUCAAAAUUAAUUUAGGCUUAAAUAAAUAUAGACAGAGUUACUGAUGCUCAUGUAGUUCUUAGAUUUAAUCUUCAGAUCUCUUUUGAUAAUCUGUCAAAGAAUUAUUCCCUUAAUUCCAAACUAAUUUCUUUUAGAAAGGCUGAAAGGGUAUGUGCUGAGAUAUUAUGUCCAUUCGCACAUACGUUGUUCUCAGCUAAUCCUCUUGAUCAUUAAUGAACAACAUAAAAGUAUGAAGCUAUCUAUUGCUAUGUGUCAAAGCAUUAUGCAUCUGAAGGUUCCGUGCUUGAAUAAUGUGUAUUAAUGAAGCAUUAUGCAUCUCUCCUCUAACAAAUUUUGUGGCCAAGCUUGGGAAGAAUCAUUGUUCUAAUCCUAAUUAAGACAGAAGACAGAAGCAACAAUUAUGGAACUUAUUGUUAGUUUGCAUUACAAACAGGAAGCUACGUUAGAAGCUCUACGAGAGACGACGAAUGCCCUCUGAUUGUGUGCUAAUGCAGCCUCCUUGGAAGACCAAGACAAAGGCAACUCUCCAUUGUUCUCUAGGAGUCUAAAUCAAUAAGUAACUAUUUAAGAGGGUUACUCUAACAGUUGAGUUAUACUAGUUUCAUGACUUCAUCUAGUGUUGAGACUUGAGAGAUCCAUUUUAAGUAUUUAAGUAGAAUGUCUUUUAUAAUCUGACUAAGUACUUUACAUGAGGGCAUCUCUUAUAGAAUAUGGGGAAUGCUGGCUAUUGGAACAUAGUUAUGUAACGGAGAUCAAACUGUGAGAUAGAAUCAUUCAGAUGCCAAUUAAGAACAUGUUUUAUCAGCUUGAUUAGUAGUGUACUAUCAUGCAGCACAUUCAUUUAUCACUUUGGUUUGUGCCUUUGUGGAUUUUCACAUAGAAAGUACUCCACAUUUCUGAAUGUAAUCAACGCUUGUGGUGGUCUGAAUGAAAAAAAGUAUAUAAAUUUUCAUCGAGUUAAAUACUUUAAAAAAAAAAAUUCAUCAAAGUAUUUCAGAUCGAAUAUCAAAUUCUCUUAUAUUACGUUGAUUUUUUAUUUUUUUUGUUAGGGAGCCCUAGCUAGCUAGCUACGGCUAACAUUCUUCUCCUCUAUCCAAAGUUUUUCAAUAUGAUGGCAACGCAAUCACCAGCGCCAAAGAAGACUGGCUUUUGGGUAAAAUAAAUAAAAAUGGUUCAUACGUGAAUGCAAAGAUGCGCACUUUCUUCCAUGGCUAUUUCACUUUCCUUUCUUUCAUGAUGGUGAGGUGAUCACUAACUACUAAUGGAUGUGGAUGUUCACAUGCAUGCAGAGGAAAGAGCAUCGAUCAGUGAAGUUGAAAGAAUGAGCCAUUGGGCAAUUGUUUUCCAAAGGAUGGAGGAAAGUUAGAUCUAGCUUGGGAUCUGUCAUCAUUGUCAUUGCUGGAUAAAUAAAAUAAAAUAAAUAAAUAAAAAUGGUUUCAAAAAGAAUACUCAAUAGAGUUAUAAUUAAUUGAGAAGGAUAGGAUUGAAUUGUUCUAUGGAAUUCCUUGUUCUAUAGAUAUGAGCUUCUUGACCAACCUAUCCUGGUCUGAUACUUUUCCAAAUUCAGGUCAAGGUCAUGUCGACCAAUAUAAUUCCUAGAUUUGCAAAACUUCAGCAGAUCAAAAAAACAAAACUCAUCAAACCAAACCCUAGCUAGAUCUGUCAUCAUUGACAUUGCUAGCUGGAUUAAAAUGGUUUUAAGACUACUCGAUCAAUAAAGUUAUAAUUGUGACUUGUGAGAGAUAUGAUUCGUUUUCAACACUUUGAAUAAGGUGGUAUGUGUAUUAUUAAUUGAAUUGGUAGCUAAUAUGACACGACCCACCCCAAAUUUCACUCUGAAACCCGGAGUAAGUCGUGCGGGGACCACCUCCAAGGAAAAUUUACUGAAAAAAAAUUAAGCAAAUCUCCCUUGCAGAUGGACAACCCUAACUCGAAAAUUUCAUAUUACACUCUUAAUUCAACACUUCCGAACAUCACAUAAUCAUCCUUCAGAAAUUCUACACAUAAUAUACAAUAAUUCCAAAGUAUUCAGAGCUACUAAACACAAGCGGAAGAAAGAAAACACGAGUAGGUUGAACAGGUAACCUACUGACGAAAACUGGCAGAAAUGCGAGUGACUAUGUCUCGUCUCCUACUAGAUCCAACCCGAACUCUGCAGACUGGGCAAUUUAAAACGAAGGGCCCAGGGGAAAACAUUUAAUAACGUUAGAGUGAGUGGACAAAAAUAAAAUAAUAAAUAUCAUAUUUAUGUUUCCCCAAAUUAAUUUCUAAGGAAAAAUCGAAUGCAUGCCGCAAGCGAUAAAACUUUUAUCCCAUAAAAUAUCGAGCCUCUCAGACUCUAUAAUAUAUGUAUGUAUUUACACUCGUCCAUACUCCCUAUAUAAAUUCAUGGGUCUAUAUAGGGCUACUACGCUCGCGUCCAACGCUCACGUCACGCCUUAAUGCGGUGCUACACUACGCCAUCAAGGUGGACAGACGGGUGUAUAAAUAUAGUGUCCAUACCCCCUAUACUGAAUUAACACUACAAUAGGCUACUACGCUUACGUCCAACGCUCACGUCACACCAUAAUGCGGCUAUAUGCUACGCCAUUAAGGUGGACAGACACAUAUGGCUAGCUAGCAUUUAUAUUACAUACUCUCUCAUAAAAUACAUAUUUAUAUCCACCGAAAAUCCCAUUUUCGGUAACUCUCCAAGAGAAAUAAAAAUCGUCAAAUUUAAAAUGACGUUAAAACACUCCAAGACAUUAAUUGUUCAACCAUGAACUAUAGCAUGCAUUUAUUUAAAAUAAACGUCCACUCACAAAUUAGGCCUAAGCCUGCUGUCGAUCUGGGGUCUCGUCUGCUCGAGCCUCCUCACGUCCUGUACCAAAUAUAAUAUUAAUUUCCCAACCAAUAAUCCAAUAUUUAAUCAAAAUAGGCAAAAUUACCCGAGAGCCAUAAAAAUGCUCAUCAUUGCCUAACUUCGAUAUUCUUAAAUCGGAACGAUCCGAACUUAAAUAUCAUACUCAACAGUCGUAAAUACAACCUCUCCAAAAUACGACUUAAAUCCUACGGCCGGAUUCUACAUUAAUUAACCGCCAAAAAUACCAAACUUCGGAAAUUCACAAACCUAUCCAAAUCUCAUCCAAAAAUUCCAUAAAUCACAUCAAUAUACUCCUCUUAAUAUUCCACACUUAAAACCCUAAAAAUCUCCUAACCGGCGGCGGCCGGAGGUCAAUUCCGGCGACCUCCAAAAUCUAUGAAAUUUUGACAGAAUAAUCCUCUCCUCAAGCUCUACAACUUUCCUAACUAGCACAAACACCAAUUCCAAGCCUAACUAGGGUAAUCGACUAAAAACAUCAAAAACGCCAUAAAACUUCCACCUCAAAUUUCUCCUUACCUAGCUCAAGAGGGAGUGAGUCCUUUUAGGGCAAGGCUGCUGGGUUGGAGGGCUACAAAACCGUACCAAGCUUGCCCGGAUUGGUGGCCGGAGGAGGAAGUUCCGGCGACGUGAUCCCUAACACAGUCGGACCUCUCGGGCCCGAUAUCUCCCUCACGGCGGCGCUAGGGGAGCUGUCACCAGUCCAAGAAGGUUGCUGGGUUGAAGACCGAUCGAUUGGGACCGGUGCGGCGGUCUGGGGCGGCCGGACGGCGGCGAUCUGGCGGUCGGAAAACGGGACAGCGGGAGGGCUCGGGUGCGGGAGCGGGUGAGGAGAGAAAAUCGGGAGGAAAAGAAUGGGUUUGGGCCUCACACCCCAAACCGGUCCAUCACUUAUAAACUAUCCAAAUUCUAAAAUUAAACACCCCGAAAAAUAAUACCCGAAUAAAAAAUUACCUUUUACUAGCUAAAAUUUACCAUUUUUACCGUCGUCGUAUUUUCCUCAUACGAAUAAUCCUCCGCACAUAAUCGUCCCCGAAACCCCUCUAGGGACCAAUUAAACUAUUUACUCAAUGAUCGGGACGGUAAAAUUCUUAUUAUAAUCAGGCUAGUAAAUAAGGUAAAAAUAUAAGGAUCGGGAUGUGACAUAAUACAUAUGAUAUCUGAAAAUGACAUGUACAUACGUAAUAUAGUGGAGUAGCUAGAGACCUGUAAAAUUGAUAUAGCUCCUACCUAGGUAUGAACCCUUCCCCUAUAUAUGAAGCAGAAAAUAACUUUUUUUGGGAUCUGUCAUCAUUAUCAUUGCUAGAUAAAAAUAACUAUUUUUUUGGCAGAUGGCCAAUUGUCAUUAUUGUCAUUGUCAUUAAAAAAUUCAUCAAAGUAUUCCAGAUCGAAUAUCAAAUUCUCUUAUAUUACAUACGUUGAUUUUUUUGUUUUUUUGUUAGGAAGUUCUAGCCAGCCACAACUAGUCUUCUUC
rnacentral:lncRNA from 1 species